AUCUGAGUUGAUGAAGGUGUAUAUUAUGUGUUUGAAUGGAGUGUUUAUGUUUCUGCUUACCCUAUUGUACGGUCUGUAUUAAUAUGUUCGAAAAUUAUUCUAAAGCACAAAGUGUCAAAAUACGUUAUGGUACAGCUUAUGUACAGAGCUUAUAGCAGCUUCACCCUAAAUACACUGAGUGGACAAAACAUUAGGAAUACCUUCCUAAUAUUGAGUUACACCCCUUUUUGCCCCCAGAACAGCCUCAAUUCAUCAGGGCUUGAUACACACAGGAAAUUGUUGAGCGUGAAAAACCCAGCAGUGUUGCAGUUCUUGACACACUCAAACCGGUGCAGCUGGCGCCUACUACCAUACCCUGUUUAAAGGCACUUCCAUUUUUUGUCUUGCACAUUCACCCUCUAAAUGGCACACAUACUGUACACAAUCCAUGUCUCAAUUGUCUCAAGGCUUAAAAAUCCUUCUUUAACCUGUCUCCUCCCCUUCAUCUACACUGAUUGAAGUGGAUUUAACAAGUGACAUUAAUAAGGGAUCAUAGCUUUCACCUGGCCAGUCUAUGCCAUGGGAAGAGCAUGUUCCUAAUGUUUUGUUCACUCAGUGUAUAUACCCCUUCAUGGGCACAAUUUGAAUAUUUUAACUAGCACUAUUACAGCAGCGUGUGACGACAUGCCAACCGAGGCCUGUAUAUAGUUAGAGGACUAUUUUAACCAUUUAUUACACAGUUAUUGUAUGAAUUUGCAAAUGGUAAAGUAUAUUUUGUAGUAUGUAUGACUGUGAUGUGGACUGGUUUAUAGUGGCUUGAAGCCAGCUACAGUACAGUAAAUCCAUGGUGUCAUUUGAAGGGUAUAAAAUAGGAAAAGUGUGGCCCUCAGUCGGACUGUGACCCAACUACUGUUGAUAAGAUACCGUUUGUGAUUGAAUGGUGGCUCACAAAUGUUUUGAGUUGUGUAUUCUGUUUAAUUAACAGGACACCAACCCAUUGGUUAUUUUGUUCUGUCAUUUUAUUAAUAUGGUACAUUGUGGUGUUUUAAAGCUUUUUAAAACAUGAAGGUUAAAGCUGCUACUUUUAUUCUUAAAAAGAACAGAAAAUUAAUUAAUGUCUGAAUGAAUAUUGUUGUGUGGUGUUUAUUUUCAGACUAACCGAGUAAAUUCUGACUGUGAAUAACUAGCUAUUGCAUUGAGGAUAUCUAUAUUCGACAAGAAAAUUUGCUUAUUUUCCAUCCCAUUUCUCUGUUAUCUCAAUAUUGCACAUUAUUGUUGUACGCCGUGUGAGUGAGUGCAUAUUUCAUUAAACAUGUUUGAGUUUGUAUGAGCUUGUUGACGACAAAUCCAGCACCCAGGUUGACUGAUAUUAGAUUCAUGAAUGAUAUUCAAUAAGGAGAGAAAGGACUGAUCCCAUUAAAUUAGCCAUAACUGAUGAAUGUGCAUUAAAGAUGCUAUACAUGGCAGUAAGAGAGAAAAUCAGGUGCCUUCCCAACACACUACAUUUACACACAUUUUAUAGAGUAAUUGUCUUUGUGAUUAACUUGAAUGAAAUAACAUGAUACAUGUUCUUCCGUCCAGAUUCCAGAUUAGUUCAUGUAGCAGGGGAAUGCCAUCAUUAAAACAUAAUGGUGUCGCUAGAAAUGCCAUAACAAACGGUCGGUCUGUCAGAGAGGAGCGUUAGUGCCGAAUCUCAAAACCAGCGGUACCAAACACAAACGCACACACACACACACACACACACACACACAGAUGCUCUGACAGGUGAG
rnacentral:lncRNA from 1 species